GCUUGUCUCAAAGAUUAAGCCAUGCAUGUCUAAGUAUAAAUCUUUUACUUUGAAACUGCGAACGGCUCAUUAUAUCAGUUAUAGUUUAUUUGAUAGUCCCUUACUACUUGGAUAACCGUAGUAAUUCUAGAGCUAAUACAUGCGUCAAUACCCUUCUGGGGUAGUAUUUAUUAGAUUGAAACCAACCGCUUCGGCGUGAUGUGGUGAUUCAUAAUAACCAAGCGAAUCGUCGGUUUACCGACGAUAGAUCGUUCAAGUUUCUGACCUAUCAGCUUUGGUCGGUAGGGUAUUGGCCUACCGAGGCAAUGACGGGUAACGGAGAAUUAGGGUUCGAUUCCGGAGAGGGAGCCUGAGAAACGGCUACCACAUCUAAGGAAGGCAGCAGG
rnacentral:rRNA from 1 species